rnacentral:misc_RNA from 1 species
AAAAGAGGACCAAAAGAGAGCGGAUAUUGGAAAAAAGGAAAAGACAAAACAGACAGCCUAAAUGAAGAAUACAGGAGAAUGGAGAGAGGUAGAAAGCCUAGUUGGGGCGGCAAAAUCUUCCAUUUUUUCUUUUCUUUUUUUUUUUAGGUAUAAUUUUUUUUAUUUUAUUGAGUGCUAUUUUCAAUUGAAAUGGCCCAGUAGCCAUUUAGUCCUU